rnacentral:lncRNA from 1 species
UUUUUUUCAAUUUUAUAGAUGACAUAGAUGGGAUGGCUACUGGAUCACAGCAACUCCCUGAUGCUUCCACAUUGCGAGAAAAAUCUAUCAAUGACAAUGAAGAAAUAUUAACUUCUGUGACUUCUGAUUUGCCUCACUUCUCCGAGACUGCAGCUCAAGAUGACCAGGGGAAUGAUGCCUGUGUGACUUCUGGUUCACCUCCUGUCCCUGACUCAGUUACUAAAGGUUUACGUGUUUCAUCAAGGCGGUGUGUGAAGAGACCAUGGUCUGAGGAGGAGAUAGGAGCGGUGAUGAAACAUAUGAAGCCUUUUAUUGAAAACGGUAUCACUGUCACCAACCAGCAGUGUCUGAAGUGCAAAGAAAAGGAACAACCUAUCUUGGAGACGAGAUCUAUUCAAAACAUUCGAGAUUUUGUGCGCAACAGAGGACUGGCCUUUAAAAAAAAUAAAUAA